UAGAAUGCAGUAUAUAGGUAUUACGUAGAUUUUGAAUUCUAAGAUACAGGUUCGAUUUCUAUUGUUCUAG
rnacentral:tRNA from 1 species